rnacentral:piRNA from 1 species
UGAUUGAGGAUACUGAAGACUGGCGU